UGAAACACACACACUGGAAUAUAAUGAUGUUAAACUGCAGCUCUGGGUGAAAAUUCACUACAAUAAUCACAC